rnacentral:lncRNA from 1 species
GACGCUGUGAAGACACUGGGAGAAGACAGCCAUCUACAAGCUAGAGAGAGGCUCGGAAGAAAGCAAACCUGCCGUCACCUUGACCUCAGCCUUCCAGACUCCAAAACGGAAAUGGGAGGUACAGUCUCUGGAGAAAAUGAACUAUGGAAGCUUUGGACUUGGGGCCACCAAACACGGAAGAAGGUGUAGGGCAGGAGUCAGCAAAUUUUUUUCCGUAAAGAUCCAGAUGAUUUUCAUACUAUGUUUAUGCUGGCUUCCUGCAACGAGUUGAGACGAUUUCUACCAUGUUCCAUGAUCUGGAAUUGUUUAACUAAUACUGCAAUUACCUGCUCUUUAACAAUUAGGAGGAGUCUUCCCAGACAGCAGUGGGGUAAGCAGCCUCCAGCAGACCUACGCCAGACCAGGGCCAAACUCAAGAUAAGAAGGACAAGGGGCUGACAUGGACUUUUGCCACUUGAACCAUAUUUUCUUUUUCUCUAGUGAUUUAGAAAUAAUCCAUCUGGACUUUACUU